GGCCUCAUAGUUCAGGUGGUAUAGGAUGCGCGUACAAGCGGCGUAGGUGGCGUCCAUGCGUGGGUUCGAAUCCCAUCGAGGCUA
rnacentral:tRNA from 1 species